ensembl:lncRNA
AUGAGUGUGUGGGUGUCUAGAAACCAGCUUGCAUGUGAGAGCACAGGACAGCAUAGGUAUACAUGUUUACUUCUUUACCACUUACUUAAAGCUCUGACAUUGCCAAAAGUCAUUCAAUAUCAGAGCAUAGAAAACAAAAACUGGAACAGACUAGACAUAAUAGGAUCAUUAUACAAAAUGAAAUUCUUCUGUGCUCUCUGGCUUUGGAUGUUUCUGUCAGAAUUUAAUUCAACUACUGGCGAAAUUUCUAGACAAGGACACAGUGAAGGAAGCAUCACAAUUACAUGCUCCCACAGCUGGGCUUCAACCAAUAUAAAGUAUUUCUGCAGAGAUCCAUGUAAAGAUAUUUUAAUGAAAUCUGACCAGUCACCUACAGGAAGAUACACACUGAAGGACUCUGGAGAAGGAACCUUCACUGUGAACAUCACUGAUCUACAGGAGUCAGACUCUGGGAUUUACUGGUGCGGAGUGGACAGAUUUGGUUUUGACACCUUUACGAAAGUCAAACUGACAGUAUCUAAAGGUUUUGUCAAAGCAUCUGGUCCAGCUGGUGAAAAAGCAGGUGCUGAACACAGAAACUCAUCUUCAUCUGCCCAUAUAUUUCCAGUGCCUUUAUACUAUAUUCCUUACGCUGCUGCUGGUUUGGCCAUCAUGGUGAUCAUAUGUACAGCUGGACUGGUAACUGUUCUUCAGUGCAGAAAGAGAGUCAAGAAAUCAAGAUGUGUUAUUGCAAGAUCUAUUUACAAUUCCCGUCACAACGAGGAGACUAAUGCUGUUUAUCAGAAUGCUCCCGAUGACAGACCCUACGCCACCAUAAAUAAAUCCAGUACCAAGUCUAAGGACGAGAGCCAAUCAGACCCAAUCUAUCAGAACAUACACUUCAACACUACGCAGGAAGAAACUAUCUAUGGCAAUCUAUAGGAAAUAUACAAUCUACUAUCCUCAAACUCAAAUACGUGUUCUGCAUGACAAGCAUCAAACAAGUUUGUCUGGACAAUUUGUCCGGACAUCAACACCAUUUCUGAACAGUAUAUAGCAAAAACACCUUGGCAAAAAUCAAAUGUACAGUACAUGAUUCAAAAACAUGUCACUUGGCAAUAUAAUCAUACCAUUAUUUGUGUACAUAAAUAUCCCUUUUCCAUGUAAAGUUUGCAUGUGAAACAACAAUGAAGGGUUGAAAAACUAAUGGGUUGUUUCAUAUUAAAUGGACAAAUGUGUAGGGCUAUUAAAUUAUUUAGCAAAUACAACUAACUGUUAUGAAUCCCUAGCCUGCGGAUAGUGUAAAAACAGAAUAUGAGUAUGUGAAAACACUGAAAAUGUGAACCUAAAAAUGGGGUUGAAAAACAGUCUUCGUCAAUCAGACUUGCCUGCUCAGACAGUUGUAAGCUCUGAACUCAGUUCACACACCAUUUUGAACAAUAGAUACCAGAGAAGCUGAUGUGUCUUUGAAAUUUCUCUAUAGAGAUCUGUUUAGUUUUCUCUAAAACAUCCAAAUAAAGAACACAUGGAAGUAAUGCGCCUGUUUAAC